CUUAAUGAGAGUUUGAUCCUAGCUCAGGGUGAAUGCUGGCGAUGUGGAUGAGUCAUGCAAGUCAAGGGGGUACCGAGGGCAACCGAGGUGCAACCGGCAGACGAGGUAGUAACGCGUAGGUAGAUCCCCCGAAGUCGGGCAUAGCCGGCCGAAAGGCCGGGUAAUUCCCGAUGGUAUCUGAGGCGUAAGCCGAAGAUUAAAGGUUUUUCGCUUCGGGAGUCGCCUGCGCAGUAUCAGCUAGUUGGUAGGGUAACGGCCUACCAAGGCUACGACGCUUAGGGGAGCUGAGAGGCUGACCCCCACCGAUGGGACUGCGACACGGCCCAUACUCCUACGGGAGGCUGCAGACGAGAAUAUUCCGCAAUGGGCGAAAGCCUGACGGAGCGACGCCGCGUGCUUGAUGAAGUGCCUCGGUACGUAAAGAGCUUUUAUGCGGGACGAAAUUAUUGACGGUACCGCAUGAAUAAGGGGCUCCUAACUCUGUGCCAGCAGGAGCGGUAAUACAGAGGCCCCGACCAUUACCCGGAAUCACUGGGCGUAAAGGGUGUCUAGGCGGUCGUGUUAGUCGUUCGUUAAAUCCCCGGGCCUAACCUGGGAAUCGCGAGCGAAACGGCACGACUCGAGGGUGCGAGAGGUAGAGGGAACUCACGGUGGAGGGGUGAAAUCCGUUGAUAUCGUGGGGAACACCAAAGGCGAAGGCACUCUACUGGCGCAUUCCUGACGCUCACACACGAAAGCCAGGGGAGAGAACGGGAUUAGAUACCCCGGUAUUCCUGGCCCUCAACGUUGCUCGCUCGUUCUUGGGAGUAUCGACCCUCCCAGGGACUAAGCUAACGCGGUAAGCGAGCCGCCUGGGUAGUACGAUCGCAAGAUUAAAACUCAAAGGAAUAGACGGGGACUCGCACAAGCGGUGGAUUAUGUGGCUUAAUUCGACGAUGAACGAAGAACCUUACCAAGGUUAGAAACCCUGCUGCAGUUUCUCCGAAAGGAGAUUCGCCUUCGAGGGUGCAGGGCAGGUGAUGCAUGGUUGUCGUCAGUUCGUGGUUUGAACUGUUCCCUUCAGUGGGGUAACGAACGCAACCCCCGUUGCCUGUUGCCUAUAUGGUCAGGCGAGACUGCUCCCUCACGGGAGAGGAAGGUGGGGAUGACGCCAAAUCAGCAUGUCCCUCUGAUACCUUGGGCUGCACACAUAAUACAAUCGUCGGUACAACGGGACGCAAUGCCGCAAGGUGGAGCAAAUCCCUCAAAACCGUCGCCAGUACGGAUCGAGGUCUGCAAUCGACCUCGUGAAGCCGGAAUCGCUAGUAAUCCCGGGUCAGCCAAACCGGGGUGAAUACGUUCUCGAGUCUUGUACUCACCGCCCGUCAAGUCAGGGGAGCUGGGGGCGCCCGAAGGGCCGUCUUGUACGGUACUACGGCGAAUUCAGUAACAAGGACUAAGUCGUAACAAGGCACGGGUAGCGGAAGCUGCUCGUGGAACAUAUCCAAU
rnacentral:rRNA from 1 species